UGCCAGCAGCCGCGGUAAUACGGAGGGAUCUAGCGUUAUUCGGAAUUACUGGGCGUAAAGCGAGCGUAGGCUGAUUUGUAAGUUGGGUGUGAAAUCCCAGAGCUUAACUCUGGAACUGCAUCCAAAACUAUAUUUCUUGAGUUUGGUAGAGGUGAGUGGGAUUCCUAGUGUAGAGGUGAAAUUCGUAGAUAUUAGGAGGAACACCAGUGGCGAAGGCGACUCUCUGGGCCAAUACUGACGCUGAGGUUCGAAAGCGUGGGUAGCGAACAGGAUUAGAUA
rnacentral:rRNA from 1 species